GCCGGGAUGGCGGAAUUGGAAGACGCGCAGGACUCAGGAUCCUGUGGGGGUAAAACCCCGUGCGGGUUCGAGUCCCGCUCCCGGCACC
rnacentral:tRNA from 1 species